rnacentral:rRNA from 1 species
CAGUAGCCACGGUAAUACGUAGGGUGCGAGCGUUAAUCGGAAUUACUGGGCGUAAAGCGUGCGCAGGCGGUUAUAUAAGACAGAUGUGAAAUCCCCGAGCUUAACUUGGGAACUGCAUUUGAAACUGGCAAGCUAGAGUCUUGUAGAGGGGGGUAGAAUUCCAGGUGUAGCGGUGAAAUGCGUAGAAAUCUGGAGGAAUACCGGUGGCGAAGGCGGCCCCCUGGACAAGGGCUGACGCUCAGGUACGAAAGCGUGGGGAGCAAACAGGAUUAGAUACCCGUGUAGUCCCUGUCUCUUAUAC